CCUCCAGGAUUCUGGCUGGAGAUUUGACUGCUCGCCACCGUCUCGCGGUCCUCUAGUGGUGGGUGGCAUGUUAGAAGCAGAAGAAUCCUGGGAACAGGGGGGUGACCGGUUGAGACGGGUGGAUGUGAAUCAGAGAUGUAGCAGAAGGGCAACAAAAAAUACCGUGGAUUACCUUGAUAAAAUAAGACAUCCUCGUUUCCCUGAGUUUAAACCCAAAGAUUGGUAUUGCCCAAUAACUGGAAAGUGGUGGGAAAUCUCCGAGCGAAACUUUGGAUAGCCGGGUCUUGUAGUAAUUGUAUCGUUAACUAGCAUGUGAUUUUGGGGCAUAGAGCCUGUUUUGUCCGAGUUUCAGUUUUCUCAUCUAAAUUUCUAGAUCUUACUAGCAACGAUCUCCUUUCUCACACUUGGUGACUAUCAAGGGAGAACCAAGGAUCGAAAGGAUCCCUAUCGCCAAUACUAUCAGAAUUCAGUGACUUCCUUACAUGUGGACAUUUUGGCUAGAUUCAAGGACCAAGCAAGAAAAUUGUGUAAGGCACAGGAAGAAGGAAGAUCAAAUUGGAAUUCCAGAUAACAUCAAGUUAAAACCUCUUUGGCCAAGCUGGCUGAAAAAUUUGAAUGAUCAGCUCUGAAAUUAAAAGAUUUUAUUAAACCAUUGCAUUUUUUCUUAAGAGCUGCUAUAUGUUUUAACAUAUCAUGAAUGCUUAAAUUCGUUUUUAAUGUACGUGUCCAGUUUGUAGACUUGCAUAUCAGGUCUGUGUAUAUGAAGUUUAUAUUUAUUGAAGUAUAGGAUAUUUAAGAAGUUGAUCUUCAAAGUUUUAUUUUACUUUUAAUUACUAAUUUCCAAACUUUUUAAAAGAAAAGAAUGUCUGUGGUACACCAGUUGUUACCUGGGUGGUUAUUGGAUCAUCUUUCUUUCAUUAACAAGAUAAAUUAUCAACUUUACCAGCAUCCUAAGCCUUGUUGCAAUAAAAAUGAGUCUGCUUCUUCAGUUCACUUGGAUUGUCUUCAAAAGGAUUCUGCAUCUUCUUUUGGAGCCUCUGCUACACUUAUUGCUCCUGACUCUAUCACUAAGCCAGAAAAUGAGGAUUCAAGAAAUUGUGAACUUCCCCCCCAAAAAUAUGUUUUUAGAUCUGAACUAUUUAAUGUCACCAAACCUUAUAUAACUCCAGCUGUUCACAAUAAAUGUCAACAAAGUAAUGAAAAAGAAGAUCUAUUGAAUGGUGUUAAAAAGGAAAUCUCCAGUUCUAUUAUUGGAAAGAAGCGUAAAAGAUGUGUUGUUUUCAAUCAAGGUGAAUUGGAUGCUAUGGAAUACCAUACAAAGAUCAGAGAGCUGAUUUUGGAUGGAUCUUUAAAAUUAAUCCAAGAAGGUCUCAAAAGUGGUUUUCUGUAUCCACUAUUUGAAAACCAGGACAAAUGUAAUGAACCCAUUACUUUACCACUUGAUACCUGCAAUUUGUCAGGAUUAUGUGAAAUGGCAAAGCAUUUACCUUCUAUGAAUGAAAUGGAACUUCAGACAUUACAAUUGAGAGAAGAUGAUAUGACUGUUACAGAGCAGGAUUUAUUUUCACGGGUUGUUGAAAAUAACUCUAGUUUUACAAAAAUGAUUACUUUAAUGGGACAGAAAUACCUCUUGCCACCAAAGUGCAGUUUUCUUUUAUCUGACAUUUCUUGUAUACAACCACUUCUGAACUGUAGGAAAACAUUCGAUGUAAUUGUGAUAGAUCCACCAUGGCAGAAUAAAUCAGUUAAAAGAAGUAAUAGGUACAGUUAUUUAUCGCCACUGCAAAUAAAGCAAAUACCUAUUCCGAAACUGGCUGCUCCAAAUUGCCUUGUUGUUACUUGGGUGACCAACAGACAGAAGCAUGUACGUUUUAUUAAGGAAGAACUUUAUCCUUCUUGGUCUGUGGAGAUAAUUGCUGAAUGGCAUUGGGUAAAAAUCACCAGUUCAGGAGAGUUUGUGUUCCCUUUAGAUUCUCCACACAAAAAGCCUUAUGAAGGUCUUAUACUGGGAAGAAUUGGAGAACAAACUACUUUACCAUUAAGGAAUACAGAUACAAAAGUUCUCCCCAUUCCAGAUCACAAAUUAAUUGUCAGCGUGCCCUGUAUUCUUCAUUCUCAUAAGCCACCUCUUGCUGUUUCUAUCUGAAGAGUGAAACAUAGCUGAUGAGAUUGUACGCAAUGAUGUUUGGGCCAUUUCUCCUCUUCUACCUCAUCCUAGAGCAAAAGAGUGAUGCUUGGAUAUGCAUUGUUUGCUUCCUUUCCAUUGGUUGGAAAGGUUCUAAAAGACUACAUCAAGCCUGAUGGGAAGUGUUUGGAAAUGUUUGCUCGAAAUUUACAGCCAGGUUGGACUAGUUGGGGAAAUGAAGUUCUCAAAUUUCAACAUGUGGAUUAUUUUGUUG